rnacentral:rRNA from 1 species
GAUGAACGCUGGCGGCGUGCCUAAUACAUGCGAGUCGAGCGCUCAGACUCAGCGCUUGUUGCUCUGACGUUAGCCGAGGGCGUGUGAAUAACACGUGUAUCAUCUCUCUUUCAGUCUGGUAUCGCUUCGGGACACCGGCUCUUAUUCCAUAUUCUCUAUUCAUCCGCUUGGUUCAAUAGUAAAAGGUGGUUUUGCUGUCGGUUAUACUUGGAUCCUCGCGGCAUUAGCUUGUUGGUAUGGUCUCGGCUUACCUAGGCAACGAUGCGUAGUCGAGCAGAGAGGGUGAGAGGCCACACUGGAACUGAGAGACGGGCAUGAGGCCUACGGGAGGCAGCAGUAGGGAAGCUGCCACAAUGGGCGAAAGCCUGACGGAGCAACGCCGCGUGGGUGAGGAAGGGCUUCGGAUCUUAAAGCUCUGUUAUUAGGGAAGAACAAAUGUGGAAGUAACUAUGCACGUCUUGACGGUACCUAAUCAGAAAGCGACGGCUAACUACGUG